rnacentral:rRNA from 1 species
AUGUCGUACUCAUCGGACGACAAAAACCGCCCGGGGGAGUGCGACUGGGGCCACGACGACCGAGGUAUCUGCGACAGGUUCAUUGUGCUGGACGAAGAUCGAUGCUUCAGCAUUAAGCUCGAGGAGACCUUCGAUGUUCAUACGCUUAUCCCAUGCUUUGCAAGACGCUAUGUCUUGGAGAGGAUGGGUUUUGAAGACCAUGAAAGUUUCGAAACCAAAAAAAUUAUCCUAAGUACCCAUCAUGGUGUGGAUUUUCAAGUAAAGUUGUACAAUGCUCAGAGUGUAACCCAUUUUGGUUGCAAAAAUUGGGAAGCACUUUGCAAGAUGUAUGGUUUUGAUGAGGGUAUGCUUGUUACCAUGGAUCUUGGUGAUCCUACAAUCGAGCAAGAGAGACCUACGAUUUUUGUCCUUGUGGAUACACCUCCAAUUCUUCCCCCAUGUGAGCUUAAGUAA